UAACACGUGGGUAACCUGCCUGUAAGACUGGGAUAACUCCGGGAAACCGGGGCUAAUACCGGAUGGUUGUCUGAACCGCAUGGUUCAGACAUAAAAGGUGGCUUCGGCUACCACUUACAGAUGGACCCGCGGCGCAUUAGCUAGUUGGUGAGGUAACGGCUCACCAAGGCGACGAUGCGUAGCCGACCUGAGAGGGUGAUCGGCCACACUGGGACUGAGACACGGCCCAGACUCCUACGGGAGGCAGCAGUAGGGAAUCUUCCGCAAUGGACGAAAGUCUGACGGAGCAACGCCGCGUGAGUGAUGAAGGUUUUCGGAUCGUAAAGCUCUGUUGUUAGGGAAGAACAAGUGCCGUUCAAAUAGGGCGGCACCUUGACGGUACCUAACCAGAAAGCCACGGCUAACUACGUGCCAGCAGCCGCGGUAAUACGUAGGUGGCAAGCGUUGUCCGGAAUUAUUGGGCGUAAAGGGCUCGCAGGCGGUUUCUUAAGUCUGAUGUGAAAGCCCCCGGCUCAACCGGGGAGGGUCAUUGGAAACUGGGGAACUUGAGUGCAGAAGAGGAGAGUGGAAUUCCACGUGUAGCGGUGAAAUGCGUAGAGAUGUGGAGGAACACCAGUGGCGAAGGCGACUCUCUGGUCUGUAACUGACGCUGAGGAGCGAAAGCGUGGGGAGCGAACAGGAUUAGAUACCCUGGUAGUCCACGCCGUAAACGAUGAGUGCUAAGUGUUAGGGGGUUUCCGCCCCUUAGUGCUGCAGCUAACGCAUUAAGCACUCCGCCUGGGGAGUACGGUCGCAAGACUGAAACUCAAAGGAAUUGACGGGGGCCCGCACAAGCGGUGGAGCAUGUGGUUUAAUUCGAAGCAACGCGAAGAACCUUACCAGGUCUUGACAUCCUCUGACAAUCCUAGAGAUAGGACGUCCCCUUCGGGGGCAGAGUGACAGGUGGUGCAUGGUUGUCGUCAGCUCGUGUCGUGAGAUGUUGGGUUAAGUCCCGCAACGAGCGCAACCCUUGAUCUUAGUUGCCAGCAUUCAGUUGGGCACUCUAAGGUGACUGCCGGUGACAAACCGGAGGAAGGUGGGGAUGACGUCAAAUCAUCAUGCCCCUUAUGACCUGGGCUACACACGUGCUACAAUGGACAGAACAAAGGGCAGCGAAACCGCGAGGUUAAGCCAAUCCCACAAAUCUGUUCUCAGUUCGGAUCGCAGUCUGCAACUCGACUGCGUGAAGCUGGAAUCGCUAGUAAUCGCGGAUCAGCAUGCCGCGGUGA
rnacentral:rRNA from 1 species